UUGAGGUACCUAGCAAGAUGUUUAAGCAACUUUUUGCUAUUAUUUUUCUUGCAUUGAUUUCAUCUUCUUAUUCACAAUAUGUCUCUAGAGGCCAGUGUGAAGACAGAAAAAUAAAACCAAUAGAACAUUUCCCACUAAUUGCUGUGUAUGGAAAUAGUCAAGUUUUGCGCAGAUGGUGGACUGUGUUUACAUCCAACAUCGAAGCCGACUGCCAGGAACUAAACUUUAGAAGAAGAACAAGUUCAGUGGAUGAAUCGCAAUUCACUUUGACACAAAAAAGUUUAGGAGAUGAUGGGUUAGAUGGCGUGAUAUCACUGGGAAAUUAUAAUGGGGAGAUGUAAAAUUCAACAAAACUGAAGGCGUGACGCAGUUUAGAAUUCUUGGGUACAAUAACAAUUACUAUACCCUUGAUUACAAUUGCGUCAAUAUAAAUAGCCAGUACAGGAGAGAACUAUUAUAUGCGAGGAGCAGGACCCGAAUGUACUCAAAUUCAAUAGCUAAAGAAGUUGAUAAAAUCCUUAAAGACAACGGCCUAACUGAUAUAAAACGAACAUAUGCUGUUCAGGAUAUUGAUACCUGCUUAUUUAAAAAAAAACAGUACAUUCAUGAAAUUUGUUCGAAAUGAAUUGAUAUUAAAUCUGUUAGCAACUUGAA